GCUGGGUGUGGUGGCGGGCGCCUGUAAUCCCAGCUACUCGGGAGGCUGAGGCAGGAGAAUCGCUUGAACCUGGGAGGCGGAGGUUGCAGUGAGCCGAGAUUGCACGCCACUGCACUCCAGCCUGGGUGAUAGAGUGAGACUCUGUCUCAA
rnacentral:SRP_RNA from 2 species